GCCGGUGCCCAGCGGUCGCAGUGAGGCUGAGGGAGCUGGGCUGUGGCGGGGCAGGCAGCUGCUUCUGCUCAGGGAAAGUCCUCACCACAGACAGCUGCAGGCCAAGCACAGCCCAUUCAUAGGCAACGUGCACUGUGAUGUGAGGGGAAAAAGCAAGGCUUUUUUGUUGUUUGAGUGAGAAAUAAUUCAUCAUGCUGUGCAGGGGUUCUGCAGUGCUGCUGGGAUGAGAGUAGGGUGAGGGACAGGCAGAGUUCUGUCAUUUAUUAUUCUUUUUGUGAUGGUUUGUUUGGUCUUUAUGUGCUUAAAGUGAUACUCUUGUGCAUCUGUGCUGUGGCUGUGGUGAGUGAGCUGGGUCAUGCACAGUGGUACAAGUGGAGGUAAAUAUGGCAAGUGGUGAAGAAAGCAGUUACCUGCACAAACAGCCACACAAAUACACCUGUUAUCUCCUGUCCAGGGCUCACCUGCAACAUGCCUGUCUGCCUGGUGGCUUGUCAUUCCUUUUAAUUUAAAACGGAAGUAUUUCCAUCCACAAGCAGCACCUAGCCUGCUUUGUGUGGGGGUCUGAAGGCUGUGCAUGCCAGUGGUGGCUGGGCUUGCUGGAAUCUCGGCAUUGGUGGGGGCUGAGGGGGAGCUGAGCCCUGCAGACCAUGAGCACUGGGCCCGAGGAGUGCACUGAGCCACAGUGGCAGUGCUUACCUAUUAGCCUAUUUACACACUUUGGUUUAUUUCUCCAGUAGACUCCAAGAAAAAACACAGGCACUCCAGUAAAAAUGAUAAUGAGUCCGACUCCACAGACAACCGGCUCGGAGUAUAGGCUGAAGACCAGCAGAAAUGCCCAAAAUGCCAGGUAAGCAAUGGGGAUGAGGAGGUUCACCUGGAGGGAGAGAGCAGAGAAGAGCAUAGCAUGACUGCAGAGUGAGGGCAGUGCUGGGCCAGCAACAAGGGCUGUGGCAUCGAGAGCCUCGUGGGUUGUGUCCCCUUCCUUCUGCCACUGUCACUUGCCCAACGUAGCAAGUUUGCUUUUGGAAGCCUUUGUAUCCCAUUUUUUUACACUAAUGGUGCUUUGGGGCAUGGUUUGAUACUGAAACUUCACCAUUACAUCUAAAAAUGAACUGAUCAAAAGUUAAAAAAACAACACAGGGUUUUCAGUGGUUCCUCCCAUGCCUUUUGCAUUGCAGCCAAGGGAUUUAGCUUCAACAUUUUCACCUUAAUAGGUCUGAAGAUUUUGGGUUUCUUCCAGCGUAACACAAUCAGGCCUAUAAUUGUCACUCCAUAGCAGAGGUAGUUAAUAAACGACACAUAGUUGAUUAGUGUGUACGUGUCUCCAACAAGCAUGAUGAUAAGAGUGGCCAGACACUGUAAAGAGAGAAAGGUGAUCUAACAUGAAUCACUACUAACUAGGUAGCUUAAAAGCAAUAAAAACAAGCCAAAAAAGCAAAAAGCAGUUUUACUCUUGUUGCUUAUGGUCCCACUGUGCUGCCUGAGCUGGACACUUCUGUACCUGCUUUCAGUGCCUGCACUCCACUAAUUUUUGUUUUAAAACCUUUUGAACCCUACAAUGAGGACUUCUGGCAAAGGAGAAGUUGUCUGUUAUGAGACAAGAGGGAUUUCUUGUAGGCUAAUACUCUGUGGUCAGUGCAUGACUUUAUUGCAGGUGCCCUGUAUGUAUUAUAAAGAAUAAAAGCUUUGCCCUUUCCUCCCAGUGGUCCAUGGCUUGUGCUGGAAAUGACUGACAUAGUUAAUCCCUUGAGCAUUACUCGUGUUAGGAAACUGGCAGACAGAUGGUGGAAAUUUACCUGCAUAGUUUUGUUUGUUUGUACUUUAUUUCAGAAUAACUCUGUGAAGUUAGGAGAGCUGGUUCAGGGUUCAUGGGCUUGCUACUCAGAUCCUGCCCCACCUGCCCACUGGUAUCCCAGGCAUGAACCCCACCUCACACUGCAUAUCCAUCCUGCAAACAUUGUCUCCUGGUGGGCAAAGCCUAAGGGAAAUGAAAUGUCCAGAUUCCUUCAGGGAGCUUUCAGGAUUUGGCUCCAUGUUACUGCAGGCUUUCUUUUUGCUUAAGUCUUCUUUUUUCCUUAAUUAGCUGUUUUAAUAGCAAAGGGAGGGAGGAGUUCUGUACCACUGGCACCACUAAUUACGCACCACCACAAUGAAAUGACCCUUUGGACUAUCCAUUCAUCUGUUAAAAUCCUCAAAGCUGUGUGGAGGUGGGGGUGAUUUCAACAUAUUGAGCUGUCUCACUACAAAAUUCAUUUAAAAUAGGGCAGUGUUUUAUACCAGUGUGGCAUAACAUGUUUCCUACUUUCUUCUGAAAGGUGCAUGCUGGCAGACACAUCUGCCACUAACAGGUUUUGCACUGAAGGCAACUGGGGCGAUGAUGUUUCUUGUGUGGGUGACAUGAAUGUGUCAGAGCUGUUCUCCACGUGGUGUAAUUCCUGAGUGGUACUGGGCUGCAGAGGAGUGUGUGUUUCCUCCCCUGAUUACCAGGCCUGAUGGCAGCCUGAUACACAUUGGGCAGGAGAGCCUGUCACUCUGCUGUCUUGCAAAAAAACCCAGUCUGUUUAUUUUGCAUUUAGCUUGGACCCUUCAUUUUUGUAAGGAUUAAUAAAAAUACAGGUCUCACUGGUGAUGCUAAAAAGGUCUUGCUCUGUGUACAAAGAAAGCUUUCUGCGUGCAAAAAACUAGGUGCGAUUCACUGAAAAAGAAGAGAGAACCUGAUGUAUUAAUUAGGUUUGCCUGAGGUCUGACCUCAUUUGCUAUUGUAGCUGCCUACGCUAUUUUAUUUUUACAUUUCUAUUUGUUAAGGAAUUAAUAUUUCAUUGCAGCAUUUGAUAUACUCUGAGCUGCAUUAAAGCACCUUCAAAUGAUGAAUUGAUAUGCAGUGUUGGUUCUGUAAUUUGCACUGUGAUUUACGGGAAAUGUUUGGAGCAGACUGAGAGGCUGACACGUGCCUGAUUUAUCAGGCCUGCUCAUGGUGUGGCUAUUUCACAGUGAAACAGCACAGAAACUCAGCAUGUUGUUUGAGCUGAUGUAUUCCUAAGGACAAAGAAGUUCUGCUUCGUCGGCAUCAGCAGAGUUCAGCUGCCUAGCAUGAGGUCGGGAUGGAGCCAGCGCCUUCUGUUUGCUCAAGGCAGGACAGAUGGGCUGUGGGGUUUGCCCCCAGAUCCUGUACAGGCAGUGCACGAGAUGUCUGUGGUCGGGCACUGAGCCCUGGGAAUGCCAUAAGCCUCAGCUAUGCAGGUAUUUUGUCCAGAAAUUGGAAUGUGCAGAAGGCUUAUCUGAUGAAAUUAUGUCUGGGUGUAUUGUGCCAGAAUUGCUGUUAGAGCCAGAAGAGUCAUGCAGAUGUGCAUCUUAGUGCAUCUUGUGUCAAAUCCUCAUUGUUUUGAAAUCAGUGGCAAAUCUGCAAUCGGCUUUGCAGCCAAUGUUUUGAGCAGAAGCCCUUGGGAGAAUUCCCCUGCUUGGGCUGUGCACUCAGGGACUGUAGCACUGAGGGUCAUUUUCCUCUUCAAUAUCUUCUUUGCCACAGCAAAAAAACACCACAUAUUCUGCUCAUCACGUAUUCAUAAACUCUGUUCUUGCUAAAACUGUGUAUUUGUUUCAAAUAACAACUUCCAUCAGUCAUUAGUAUCAUGGAAAUUCAUGAUGUGUAAGAAAAAGAAAGAUCUUUCUGCAGGAAAACAGCAGCCUAACCAGCCAAAACCUCCCAACAUUCGGAACAUUUUCUACUUUUUGUGGGUGGCCCUCUUGUUUGCCUAAUGUAUUAAUUCAGCAGAUACUUCACGGAGGGCUGCUGUAACAGCUGACUUACUUGUUUGACUGAUAUUUCUUUUCUGUGAAAAACAACAGGUCCUCAGAACACUGCAGCUCAUACCUCACAGGACACUUUACUCAUAGAGUGUAACAUCUGGAGCACUUUGUGCUCUCCCUGGGUCUUGCCUUGUCCCUGGCUUUGGCAGCAGAGUCUAUACCAGCCCUGCCACGGUGGGAUUAGCUGUGACCACAGGGAUUUCCUUCAUGUUAAAUAUUUGCAGAAAGUCAGCAAAAUUGGUGAAAAUAAUUCAUUUUUUCUUAAAUGAGAUAUCUUCAUUUCCAGACAAAGACACACUCUACCUCCCCAGUUGGUAUGACAGGUUAUAAUGGGCCUAAAUUGCAGCUCGAGUUAGAUACCAGGGAAUCACUCCAAACUGCAAGGGCAGUUCUCCUUUCCAUUAAUCAGUAUUUCUAAGAGCUUGCCCAGAUCUGAGCAGGUUACAGGACAAUGGGGCAGGGACAACAGAACUUACACAGACAAGCAGGGCAGGGAUGGGUGUGCAGUACUUCACGUGGAUCAUGGCAAGCAAGCUCGGCAAGUGGCCUUCUCGGGCACCAGAGAAACAUAACCUGCAAAUAAGAAUAGGAGCACUAAUCCACUGCAUGUAAAACAGCUUUUUCAAUAUCUAGCUGUACAAUGUCUCUAAUCUCAACUGCCCUCGCGGGUGUUGGAGUAGAAGGAAGCUGCUCUUCUGCUGCUGGUUUGAAGCUGGGAAGACCACAACUUGGUUCUCACUUCCACUAGAGAUUUGUGAAUAACUUGGUGUAAGUUGUUUCACCUAAAUCGUUCCAUGUAGGAGGCCUUUAAUGGCUAAUGUCAUCUGUGAAAUCACUGAUCUGAGUUGCCCAAUUAUCUCUGAGGAUGAGGACUGAAAUCUGCCAGUCCCCAUCUGCCAGCAGCACUGCCUGCUUAUCCGUGAACACAGAAGCUGUGAGAUGAUCAGCCAUAUGUCGCUAAGGCACCAAAAAUCCCACAGAUAAUCGUUCCAGUGUCAAAAGGGCUUUGGUUAAGGUUUCAUGUGCCUUAAGAUUUCACUUUUACAUGCAUAACAUGUUACACGUGUAUUCAGACUCAUAUCUCAUGAUAAUCAUGGAAGCACUCAGAUAAAUAACUUUCCUGAGGUACUUCAGACUUGGAUUGUUUCCUCUAUAUAACUCUCUUAUAACUUUUAAAUUGAGUUCAGGAAGGUCAGUUAAUAGAAAUAGACUUUGAAGAUUCUGGUCCUGCUAUCAUCAGUGUGCACGCAAAGCAUCUUGCCCGGAAGGAGCUUCUUCAUUGCAGGAGUGAUGCCUGUAACUGGGAACUGAACCAGGCCCUGCAACUUCUUUUUCAGCUAAGCAUACUUUAGCUUGUAGCUACUGGAACUUUAUUGAUGUAAAAUCGCUUUGGUUCCAUACUAAAGCCAUGUUUGGCUCUUACUGCGAGUUAUUCCACAUCUGCAGAUGCUUUUAGUAGCUCAUAAGGAUUAGUUUGCAAGAGAUUCUGUGAUUCAACAUUACAUUUGCUGGUUGAAACAGAGCAGUUCAUAACUGAAUGUAUCCAACAUGCCCAACAGUGAUCUCACCAUGCUAUAACAUCCAAAAUGUCUAGCUAGCAUUUCUUUAGCAAAUCAAAUUAAAACAGCCCCUCCCCAAAUUAGAUAAUGUUCAUAAAAUUGUACUCCAUCUAACCUUGAUGAGGUAAAAAGGUAUCCAUUUAUUCCUCCAAAUGUAGAUAGGGCCACUGAGACUGGCAUAACCCAGGAAAAAUAGCCCAGUAACUUUUCACCAAAUGUCUAAAGCAACAGAAGGCAGAGAAACUGAAAUACACUGCAAAGCACAGAACUGAAAUCAAAGUGUAUUUUAGACAUCCAGGGAAUGGUUUACUUACUACCGCCACAGCGUUGGAGGACAAGAGCUCUUGGGGUGACAUGGCAGUGAAAUAUGCAAUGUUGGUGAACGUAUACACAAAUGUCACCAAUGGGAUGGAUAUGAAUAUGGCACGAGGUAGGUUCCUAAUAAAAGAAUUAGGAGGGUAGAUAAGAAUUUACAGUCAUACACAGUGAGACCACAAUAACCUUGUACAGCCUGGGGCACUCAACCAGCCGCAUGGGUUCAUUUGCUACAAUGCUGUGGUACCUUCCAGGAGUGAAUAUUUUAGUUGCCAGUCCAGAGCCCUCUGUAGAGGUGGGCAGCUGAACAGAUCUCUGUCUAAUGCAGUAAUGCAUUUUUGCCUCUGUGUCACACUUGGAAAAAAAGUUAAAAAACAAACAGAAGUACUUUAAUCUUUCUGAUCCUGAAUGGAUUUAGUAAAAAUUGGAAGAUUUUUCUUGUUACCAAGUUACUUUUUAAUAUUCCAUUUUCCCUUUAGAGGCUGCAAAAAUAAUAUUUAAGUCUAUUCCCUCCCUUUCCUUUUUAUUUCUCAAACAAGGCCGUAUUUGCCUUAUAUAAGUCAUAACUUUUGUUCAGGUUUGAAACUGUGGUGACCCAUUACAGUGCUGCUGUUUUAUGGAGGGGACACAUUGCUGAUCUUUCUCUAUUCCUGCCAAGGUCUCUGGGUGUGCACUUUUUCACUCACUGGUAUGAAGGCCUGCACAGGGCUGCUUGUGAGAUGGCAGCUUCCAUUCACUUCCAGCCGGGCUGUGCAAGCGCUUGAACUUCUCCUUGUUUAACUGCUGUGUGUGUGGCAUGCCCAGAAAUAGCCGACGCUCCGAGAGCUGCUCUCAGCAUCCAUUGUUCCACUUCAUCAUCUCAGAAAUGUUGAAACGUUUGAGCUUUGCCUUACUAAAGUAGAAUCGUUCUCCCUCUGGCUCCCCCUGCCUGCUGGUGGUAGGUCAUUUCAAAGCUCCUUCCCACACACACAGCCCCCGGAGAGCUGAUAAGGGGCACCCCAGGGGCAGGUCCUGCAGCUGUGCUGCCUGUGGGUCAGGUGCCUUACCAUCUUCUCAUUCCCUUUGGGUGAAAAAGCAAAGUAACCUGCAGUAGAACCCAACAUUUUUCUAAUAAGAGACAGUGAUUGUCCCUGUAGAUACAUAUGGCGUCUCAUCAGUUAAUUUUUUGUGAAGGGUGCACUGUAUGUUUGGUCAGGGCCACGAUGACAUUGCUUUGUCCAUAGGCCAUUUUAAUUGAAUUGAUACUUCGUGCAGUCUGUUCCUAAUUUCAGCCUGGUGUUUUGUUAACUAGCCUGUUUGCAUUCCAAACAAAAAAUCUCUCCUUUAGCCACACCAGUCCUAUAGGACAUGUAACAAUAUCACUACAGCCUAUUAGAUGAAUUAUGUUAUCACAUGGCUCCAAUGUCUCAGCACUUCAAAAGAAUAUGUGGAUGACAUGGAAAGGGAUACUUGCCUGCGGGGAUCAACCAACUCUUCUGUUACAUAGUUCAAGAAGUUCCAGCCGCUAAACGCAAACGACCCUUGAAGGAAAGCUAAUGCUAAAUGCCCCACGGAUGGAGUCAUCCAAAAAUUGAAUGCUUUGCUCGGUGUCAGCUCUUCAUAGUUUCCUGCACAGAAAGCACAAACAAGAGUUUACGCCUUCCCCUGAGGGAAGUGCUGUCCACUGGAGACACCAGGAAAUAGGUGAACUUUUGUUUUUUUUCCUUUUUUUUUUUUUUCAUUGCUCGAUUGGGUUUGAGACUUUGUGCUCUUCAUGUUCCACAAGUCAGCUCGGGCUGGGUGUCCUGUGGAGGCUCUGCACACACAGGCAUUGCUCUGCAGCUCUCUGCCCCGGUACCAGCAUCACUGCUGCAACAUACUGCUACCUGCCUUUGUUUUCACACUGCUGGAGGAUGGCUCCACGAUGGGGUAAACUCCUGUCUGUUCCUAAUGCUGUUUACUUUUGCAAGAACUUGGUGUUGUUUAGUAGGAGUACUGGGAAAAUAUCUAAAGGGCUGGAAGAUUUAUCAGGACUGUGGGGCUAUUAUCACUGAGAAAUAGUCCUGCUCUCUAAAUGCCCUAUUUCAUCUUUCUCUGCAUGACUCAUCAUAGACGUGAUAAAAGUGUCACGAGCCUUUUGUGCUCUCUGCUUUCCAUUAAGUUGGUGAUUCAGUCAGACAUUUUUGCAUCUUAAGAAGGUGGCAUUUUGUAGUUCUCAAUCUUACAAGUGACUUUUUGUAGGAAACCAGACUGUGCCCAAAAUGAAUCUAGCAUCUUCCUGAACUGGGCCCAGCACUGCUUAGCAGUUUGCACUCAGAGCACUUUAAAAUUUAAAGACCAUGCAACAAAUCAUAAAUUUUCUGUAACCUCUCUAAAAUACCUUCAGAUGCACUUCUCCUUUAUCAAAACCAACAACGCAGGACAGAAAGGAAUAUGUUUAGGGAAGAUACAGCUCAUGUCUCUGUAGUGCCAUCAUUUUCAUGACUCCAUGUAAGGUUGUCACACAGAGGAUAAACCUCCACAGAGGAUAAACAGAUGCACCUGUGCCUGGAAUAAAUCCCUCAGCAGCACCCAAGACAAACGCUUUUCCACCGGGACACACAGCUGCUGUGUGGGAUGUCAUUCUCCAGCUCCUUCCAGCCCAGAGAGCACCCACAGCAACCAGAGCCCAAUGAGCAGCACAGAGACUGCUCCACAGCCCUGCAGUCCCUUUGGGUUGCUUUGUAAGGAGAGUGAGAGAAGCAAGUGUAGCAACAGUACCAUACCCGUGUUGGAGCUGUCUCACAGAGUACCUUUAAAGAUCUGUAUGAAGCCCACAGUAAUGAUAAGGGCCAAGGCUAAGAGUUUUCCUGCUGUAAAUAUAUCCUGAAUGCGCGUUGCCCAUCGAACGCUGGAGCUGUUCACCCAGGUCAGGAGUACUGGAGAGCAAAAGACUGAAUUCAGUGAAAUGAAAUUACGUUUAUUUAAGAACACACACAGCGCUGUAAAACACUGACUGCUGCAUAGUUCCCGUGUGGCCAUAAUCGAGGUGAGGACGGGACUGGCCUUGCCCUAUGAGGUGCCCAGCUUGCCCAGCUGCAGAGGAACAUCCAUCACAGCUCUUCUCCUUUGGGCUCUGCUGCCUAGCUUCUCCAGCUCGAAGGGCUGUGCCUGCUCAGAGCUCAAUCUGCUACCUGAAAUGGGGUUUCAGCUUCCUUACGGGACACGGAGAAUGUCUUCUUUCCCUGUGGCUCCUGCUCCAGUCCCACCAGCUCUCUUUUGCACUUUGUGCUGUGCAUGGCCGCCCUGCGUGCUGACUUCUGGAUAGGCACAGACUGCAGCAGAAAGGCACAUCUGUGGACAAACAGACCCAUCGCCUACUUCUGGUGUGAGCCAAUUAAGAAGAAUAUAAAUCUGUUUUUAUGUUCAUUUUCUGCUUCCAGGAAUCUCUACUUGCUGCUCCUUUUUACCUCCCCUGGUAAAAUCGCUCCCAGAGCUCCCCAAACCAGGUGAACGCCUACUCCAAAGGAUCCUGAUAGACAACAGUAUGUUUGCACAGACUGAAAAUGUAAGAGUGCACCAUCACCCCUAAAGUGCACUGCCCUAAACAAUUUUUUUUGUUCAUGAGUAAGAACCAUUGAGGCAAUCUGCAUUGCUCUCACAAGCCAGCAAACAGAAGCGUGUCCUGAAACUUCAACGAGUACAGUGCUCACACACAGACUUGGAGAGGGAGAAGACCCUGCAAUGCUGCUGUUUUCUGUGAUCCCAGCCCUGGAACUGGGGUACUAUUCCAGUAAAGCCCUUUUGGGAGGAUCUCCUGGUCAUUCCCUAUGCUACUUGAUGAGGAGAUGGAUCUGACCAGGUGCUGGUUGAUUCAAUGAUCAGCAACCAGUCCCCUUUAGCACCAGUGGCAUUAGCACCUACCCACUGCUUGUUGAGUUCUUGCAUUUUAUGAAAAAUUGAGUAUAAAGACCUCUCCCAGUUCUGUGUAUUUUCUUUUCCUGGCGUUAAGCUAGCAGCUUGCCAGUCCUGGCAAUGUCUGUCUGUAAGGCCUCGCUGUGGGACAUACCAGCAAGGACGGAGUGCAUGGAAGUGCAUGCAGGGGGGCUGCUAAAUAGUUUUCUGUGAAGGGCAAGGAGGAAAAAUCCUAUCUAGUGCACUUACACCUCUGAACUUGGUGCCAUCUCAGAGUACUGUCCAUGGAAGAGGUAUUUAUGCAAGUGGAAACUUCCUGUAGAUGCAUACACGGUUGUUAGUAAGCAAGUACAACAUCAGGCAGGUAUUGUGGCAACCAAGGAAAUGUGUUUGCUUGUUUCCUUGCUGCAGUUUCAUCACAUGGAUAAUAUUUCUGCAUACAUGUUAUGACAAUCCUGACAGAAGGAAGCAUCCCCCAUAUAAGGGGGCUUCCAGCUCAUGUACAUUCUGCUGACACCAUCAAGGAGGUGGCAGACGAACAGCACCUACAGAACAAGGCAAAUGCCAUUUUUUGGGGUGUUGUAGGAAGACAAAUGCCAGAAGGCAAUUUCCAAAAGUAGCAAUAAUUGAACACAGUGCUCGCAGGCUGUCUGAUCACAGUUUGGGAUGGACUCGAAUUGGGAACCUCUUUAUAAGGGGUUUUACACCAAUAUCUCUUGCAAACAGUUAAACAUCUCAUGGCUGCAAUUUGCACCUACAUUUGCACGUACAUUUCUAACGUAAGAAUAGUAGUUCGUUAUUCAGAUCAAAAGUAGCAGGCUGGUAUCAGACAUUAAUCAGGCUGCUGUUUCUAAUUCUUGUACUUUUCUAAAGAACAGUGGAAUGUGGCAGGAACUACACGGAGCCAACUCAUGGAGCUUCUUACCCAGCUUUUCGUCUGCAUUGGCAAAACUGAUGUUGAAGGCACUGGAUAGGAAUUUCUCUGAUAUGUAGCUCACGUGCCUGUGCUGGUAGAAAAGACUGCGAUAGUCUUAGUCACACACACAGCCCCACAGGUUUUAUAUCACCAGCUCUGUAGCACAUGCACAAGAUAACUGUUGAAUUAAAUAUGACAUAGAUGUGUGCAUCUCCUAAAUAAAAAGUAAUGGCGUUUUCAAGCAA